rnacentral:lncRNA from 1 species
GCUCACAUUGCAGUUGGACGUUUUAUUCCGAUCAACACGAGAGAAGGAAACGGUGAUCACUACGGUGGAAAAAUUAAGCGAAAUGGGAAUCGGGAAGGGCCUCAUCGGAGGCGGUUUGUGAAAUUUCCUGCGGCGGCAUCGCCGAGCUUCGACGAUGUUUUCCAACCAAUUGACUGGUUCUUUCACUCUAAUUUGGCCAUGGGUGGGUUUAAAAUUGAAUUUCGUGCAAGAGAGAAAAUUUUUACCUUUUUUGACAGUCGGAAAAGGUUCCAGUGCGGCAGCGGGUGGUGGCGGUUGGUUCCCCAGCGGCUGGUUAUCUUCUCCAGCGAGGGGCUCUGGCGGC